rnacentral:tRNA from 1 species
GGUCUAUUAGUCUAGUUGGUUAGGACGUCGGAUUCUGAUAAUGGUUUUCAUUAAAGGACUUCCGUAAGCCCAGGUUCGAAUCCUGGAUGGACCU